GCAAGUCGAGCGGAAAGGCCCUUCGGGGUACUCGAGCGGCGAACGGGUGAGUAACACGUGAGUAACCUGCCCCUGACUCUGGGAUAAGCCCGGGAAACUGGGUCUAAUACCGGAUAUGACCGCCUCCGGCAUCGGAUGGUGGUGGAAAGUUUUUUCGGUUGGGGAUGGGCUCGCGGCCUAUCAGCUUGUUGGUGGGGUAGUGGCCUACCAAGGCGACGACGGGUAGCCGGCCUGAGAGGGCGACCGGCCACACUGGGACUGAGACACGGCCCAGACUCCUACGGGAGGCAGCAGUGGGGAAUAUUGCGCAAUGGGCGGAAGCCUGACGCAGCGACGCCGCGUGGGGGAUGACGGCCUUCGGGUUGUAAACCUCUUUCAGCAGGGACGAAGUUGACGUGUACCUGCAGAAGAAGCGCCGGCUAACUACGUGCCAGCAGCCGCGGUAAUACGUAGGGCGCAAGCGUUGUCCGGAAUUAUUGGGCGUAAAGAGCUCGUAGGUGGCUGGUCGCGUCUGCCGUGAAAGCCCGCAGCUUAACUGCGGGUCUGCGGUGGAUACCGGCCCGGCUAGAAGUAGGUAGGGGCAAGUGGAAUUCCUGGUGUAGCGGUGAAAUGCCCAGAUAUCAGGAGGAACACCGGUGGCCAAAGCGGCUUUGUUGGGCCUUACCUGACCUUUAGGAACCGAAAACCUUGGGGAGCCAACAAGGAUUAGAUACCCUGGUAGUCCACGCUUGUAAACGUUGGGCCCCUAGGUGUUGGGGAUUUUCACGAUCUUCGUGCCCGAACUUAACGCAUUUA
rnacentral:rRNA from 1 species